rnacentral:rRNA from 1 species
UGAGGAACAUGACCUUCGGCGGGGGAGUAGCCGGCCCAACGGCCGGGUAAUACCGCGUGCGACCACAUGGGGACAUCCCUGAGUGGUGAAAGCAGCAAUGCGCCGAUGGAGUGCCUCGCGGCCUAUCAGCUAGUUGGUGUGGGUAACGGCCCACCAAGGCGACGACGGGUAGCCGGCCUGAGAGGGUGACCGGCCACACUGGGACUGAGACGCGGCCCAGACUCCUACGGGAGGNAGCG